rnacentral:rRNA from 1 species
UACGUAGGGUGCAAGCGUUGUCCGGAAUUAUUGGGCGUAAAGCGCACGUAGGCGGCUUUUUAAGUCAGGGGUGAAAUCCUGGAGCUCAACUCCAGAACUGCCUUUGAUACUGGGAAGCUUGAGUCCGGAAGAGGUGAGUGGAACUCCGAGUGUAGAGGUGAAAUUCGUAGAUAUUCGGAAGAACACCAGUGGCGAAGGCGGCUCACUGGUCCGGUACUGACGCUGAGGUGCGAAAGCGUGGGGAGCAAACAGG